GUUGCUACGAAUUGGCAGGUUGAGCGCUUGAUGAUGACGUCACUAGCGCGACACUUUUGUCACCAGAGACUGGGAAUAACGGAGCAAACUGUAUGGCUAUUAGUGUGUGUAUCGAGGCUUCGAGUAACCUUUCAGAAGUUGAGAUAAAAGUGUUUUGUUUAUUUGUUUAUUGGUUAUAGUCAAUUUUUGGGUUUGAUUUAACUUAGUUGAACAGUGUGUUCUGGCGGGUUUAGGUAGAACUCUUUGUUCCGGAACGGAUGAAAGUUACCCAUAAUUUUAUGCCCAGCAGGAGAACUACAGAGGGAGGUGGCCCACGAGAUUCAACCAGGAGACUGGAUCUGGAUCCAAUCACUAAAGAAAAAAAACUGGAAGCAGCCUCGGUGGGAGGGACCAUUCCAAGUACUACUGGUGACUGCCUUCGCUGUGAGAUUAGCCGAAAGAGCUACCUGGGUACAUAUCACACAUUGUAAGAGGGUAAGUCACUCUAGCACUGUCGGACGUACACAGGGGUAGGAGAGGAACCGUGACCCAUAUGGAACGGGGGUCAAACUCCUUCUGAAGAUUCCCUAUACCCGACCUUUCCCCAGCUGUGAGCGUUCAUAGAAGUGAAGUGAUGGCUUGGCCUCUGGCUGUUGAUAUGUUCUCGGGGAGAGGGUGGGGCUUCACGUGCGCACUGACCAUCCUGAGCUGUUUUAUUGUGGGGGCCAUAUUCCUGGUUCACCAUGAUCCCCCGGAAAGUGCCAAAGAGGAUAAUUUGACUCAUGUGCUAGAUGAGGGAAAUGGGAUGUUACCUAAGAUUCUCAGAAGGUCACUGAAACAAAAUAGUAAGGAAGUGAGGGUGGAAUUGGGCAAGGAUCUCUCAGUAGAAUUUUGUGUAGAUCAAUUGGGGUCAUUCACCCCUUGGCAGUCUAGAACCACGGGACUCUAUGGGAAGUAUUUGUGUAAAUCACCAUAUUGAUCGUGGACAGGUCAUAGCUCACACUGAAAGGGAUGGCUACGUAAACCCAUACACUCAAUUUGGGACCAGGUGGAGUAUAGUAAGGGUUGGCGUUUUGGACUUUGUUCCUGAACAGAGGAAGUAUUGUAUAAAGGUACGAAUAGUUCAGACCAAAGACCUCAAAGAAGUUAUAGAAGUGGAGACUGGGUUUGGGGAGUCCAACUUAUGGUUGGAAUGGAUUCAAUAUACGGCCAGAUCAGUGGCUAAAGAAGAAUGUUAUGUCUGUGCGAACGCUAAACCCCAGUUAACAACUAUCCCUUUUCCACUGAACGGAAUUAAUUCCCCUAAGGGAAUGGCAUGUAUGGUAAAGCUGUUCAUGAAAGCAGGAAUGCCAAAUAAUGACAGUUGUAUUGAUUUGCACUAUUUAUAUCCCCAGGAACCAAGUUGGUACAGAGAAUAUGACCACUGACGAGACCAUGUCUGAAUUGACAGGCUGGUUGAACUCUGGGGACUUCAAUAAAAUAAAAUGGGCCAGUGUCGACAUCUGGUGGUUGUGCGGGGGAAUGAGUUUGUGCGGUAUUGCCGACUGAUUGGACUGGACUAUGUGCUUUAGUACAUUUAGGAAUGCCUUUUACACUCAUACAACACCAAGACAUGAAGUUAGCCAAAACGAGAGAGAAGAGAUGCUCCAUCUAGGUCUUUUGGCGAAAGAGUAUAUAUUGAUAACAUUGGGGUUCCACGAGGUGUGCCGGAUGAGUUCAAGGCAAGAAAUCAGAUACUGGCAGGAUUAGAGUGGUCUACUCUCAAUAAGAAUGUAGACUGGAUUAAUUAUAGUUACCAUAAGGGUUAUUAAAGGGUUUGUAGAACAGACUGAAGCAAUCAGCUGGAAGACCUGACAGAAUAGAAUUGCAUUAGAUAAAAGGAGGAAGUGGGCGUGGUAAUCAGGACCGUGUCUUACAUCCCAGGUAGCACAGCUCCGGACGAAUCAGUGCCCGAAGCCUCAGCUGGUUUGACCACCCUGGCUCACGGGUUGGCAGAAACUCUGGGGUGGAUAAUUCUCUGAACUAAAUUGGGUAGACAGUAUUUAUGGAAAAAUGUGGUGUUUUGGGCUGUAUCUACCUGUAUGACUGUUUUAAUUUUAUGUGGCUGUUGUCUAAUUCCCUGUGUGCGAGGCCUUGUUUCCAAUACUCUGGAAAGAUCAAUGACACUACAGAUGGUGCGUUAUGGGCCGAUUCCAGGUUCUGACCCAUGGAGGACUGAAGGCAUGUCUACAGAGGAAGUGGACGAAUCCGGAUCUGUCAUUUGUGGGGAAUUUAUGUUUGAUGAGGCUAGUGUUGAGAUGAAGGGGAAUUAGAUUGUAAUUGGUUUCCAUGAUUAAACUGUUUUUUUAAUGAAGGUCGUGACGAAAGUCCGGAGGGAAGGGUUAUGAUUCUGAUGUAGGUUUAAAAACAGUUGGAGUUAAGGUUAGAAUUGAUUGAUGAAAUGUGACGAGUUGGAUAAACAUUUAUAAUUGAUUUGUUGAUUAUUUGUCUAUUCAUAUGAUAAUCUGAUAAACCUCUAUAAAAAGGUUAGUUAAGUUCGUUUAUACUUUCAUUUUUUAUGAUUAAAUAAAACUAGAUGUAGAAUUGAAUGUAUAAUAUUUGAUCAAAGGGAGGAUUGAUAGAGGAAAAUAUAGUUUAGAUGAUCAAUUAUGUAUACAUUAAUGAUUAGAAUCAUUUAUUCUAAUACUAUUAUGUUAUGAUUUGAAAAGUAUGGGUUUUUAGUUGAACUGUUACUGAAAAUGUAAGCAGAAAUGAAUUGUGUCUGUGUCUCCUGGGAAAGUUUAAGAAGGAGGGAUAAGAUAGUUUUUCAAACAGAUAAGAAUGUUUUGGUUGGAUUCCAUUAGUGGAGAGAAGUAUAUCCUUUAGACAGGUUGGAAUGUAGUUUAUGAGGGGAGUGAAACUAUCUCCAGGACCGAAUACUACGCCAUUGUAAGGCUGGGAGAGGGUGUGAAACUGAUGACGUCAUUUUAUGUCUUCUUUCUUUAAAAUGUAAUGUUCUUUGUAUUUUGGGUCAGUACUCAUCAAGAAUAAAUGCUGAACUUGUUUUUAA